rnacentral:rRNA from 1 species
GUUUGAUCCUGGCUCAGAUUGAACGCUGGCGGCAUGCUUUACACAUGCAAGUCGGACGGCAGCACAGAGAAGCUUGCUUCUUGGGUGGCGAGUGGCGAACGGGUGAGCAACAUAUCGGAACGUACCGAGCAGUGGGGGAUAACUAAUCGAAAGAUUAGCUAAUACCGCAUAUAUUCUGAGGAAGAAAGCAGGGGACCAUUUGGCCUUGCGCUGUUUGAGCGGCCGAUAUCUGAUUAGCUGGUUGGUGGGGUAAAGGCCUACCAAGGCGACGAUCAGUAGCGGGUCUGAGAGGAUGAUCCGCCACACUGGGACUGAGACACGGCCCAGACUCCUACGGGAGGCAGCAGAAGGG